UAAAAAUUGUAUAAUUGGUAGACCAGAGUAGUAUUAGUUAAGGUCUUGAAACUCAAAAAAUUUGGCGGUAUUUUAGUCUAUUUAGAGGAACCUGUAGUAUAAUCGAUAAUCCACGAUGGACCUCACUUAAUUUUGUUUUUCAGUUUGUAUACCGCUGUUAUUUGAAGAUUUUAUAAGAAUAUUAAUUUUCAGGAUUUUUAAUUAAAAAAUAUAUCAGGUCAAGGUGCAGCUUAUGAUUAAGAAUUUAUGGGUUACAAUAAAAUUAUUUAUACGAAUAAAAAUAUGAAAUUAUUUUUUGAAGGUGGAUUUAAUAGUAAAUUUUUAAAGAUAAAAGAAUUGAUU
rnacentral:rRNA from 1 species